rnacentral:rRNA from 1 species
GCAUAUCAAUAAGCGGAGGAAAAGAAACCAACCGGGAUUGCCUCAGUAACGGCGAGUGAAGCGGCAAGAGCUCAAAUUUGAAAUCUGGCCCCCUCGGGGUCCGAGUUGUAAUUUGCAGAGGAUGCUUCGGGUGCGGCCCCCGUCUAAGUGCCCUGGAACGGGCCGUCAUAGAGGGUGAGAAUCCCGUCUGGGACGGGGUGUCCGCGUCCGUGUGAAGCUCCUUCGACGAGUCGAGUUGUUUGGGAAUGCAGCUCUAAAUGGGUGGUAAAUUUCAUCUAAAGCUAAAUACUGGCCGGAGACCGAUAGCGCACAAGUAGAGUGAUCGAAAGAUGAAAAGCACUUUGAAAAGAGAGUUAAAAAGCACGUGAAAUUGUUGAAAGGGAAGCGCUUGCGACCAGACUCGCCCGCGGGGUUCAGCCGGCAUUCGUGCCGGUGUACUUCCCCGUGGGCGGGCCAGCGUCGGUUUGGGCGGCCGGUCAAAGGCCCCCGGAAUGUAGUGCCCUUCGGGGCACCUUAUAGCCGGGGGUGCAAUGCGGCCAGCCUGGACCGAGGAACGCGCUUCGGCACGGACGCUGGCAUAAUGGUUGUAAACGACCCGUCUUGAAACACGGACCAAGGAGUCUAACAUCUACGCGAGUGUUCGGGUGUCAAACCCGUGCGCGCAGUGAAAGCGAACGGAGGUGGGAGCCCCCUCGCGGGGCGCACCAUCGACCGAUCCUGAUGUCUUCGGAUGGAUUUGAGUAAGAGCGUAAAUGUGGGGACCCGAAAGAUGGUGAACUAUGCCUGAAUAGGGCGAAGCCAGAGGAAACUCUGGUGGAGGCUCGCAGCGGUUCUGACGUGCAAAUCGAUCGUCAAAUUUGGGUAUAGGGGCGAAAGACUAAUCGAAYCAUCUGGUAGCUGGUUCCUGCG